rnacentral:pre_miRNA from 1 species
AAUAAGUUUAUUUUUCAGUUUUUGGAUAUAAUGUUUGACUAUUGUCUUAUUUGAUUUUUUACGAUUAAUAUUUUUAUUGUUAUUAUAUAUAAAACAUGAAUAGUACUUUACGCGUAACUAACUUUUCUAAGUUUUUUUAAAUAAGAUGAUGGUCAAACGCUGGACACAAACAA